GUCGCCACCGCUGGGCUGUCGCUAGGGCUGCCGCUUUCUGCGCCGCCGCUACCUUCGCCCCGCUGCGGGAGCGGAGCGGGGCAGCUGCCCGGGGCCUGCGCCGAGUGCGCGGGGGCGGGAGAAGCGCCGCCGGGCCCGGAGUCGUGCGGGGGAGCGCAGCGGCCGCAGCCGCCGGGGCGGGACAGCGGGCGGACGGUUGAAGUCCCGAGCGCCUCAGCGAGAGCAGGGCCUGCGGCGGCGGAGCCGCAGCACUGGUGCUGCCCAUGGCAGCAGAUAACAUGUCAUCCCUGUAGUGUACUGGAACUGUUGGAGUUGCCUUACCUUUAAUCUCAUUGCAGCUGUUGCUCUAGAUUGCUGGUUCCCUGGAGCCAAAUAAGGGACUUCUAAUGACCUCAGUAAAUUUCUGGUCUGUGGAACUAGCUGGAAGCAUCUUCCCUUCAGCCCUUCAGUUAUGGUGUUUGAAGCAUUCCAAGACAUGGCUGAAUUUCCAGACAGAUGAAACAGAAAUAACAGAAGUGAUACUAAGCAUGGAUUAAACAUACUUGCUCUUGAUAUGACGUUCAUGUACUGUAUCUCAUUUCUUUCUGGAUCCUGGUGGCUCUUGGAUCUCAUCUGGCAUCUGUUCAUUUUUCUCUAAAAGGAAGUCCCUGAAAUGGUGGCUGCAAGACAUUCUGUGAAGGUGAAGCUGUGAAAUACUGGUAAGGUAGUGUGAAUACUGACAGCUAUGAAUCUCGUCAAGGGACAUUGUGGUCUGAUUUUUGUUGUUCUUUUGGAACAGAUUCCUCAUGCAUGCUGAAAUUUUGCUGUGCAUGUCCUUAUGCAAAUUCUGCAAGGAACAGGCAGCAUUCUAUAUCCCCUCUAUUAUAUGGAGUACUUGGUGGAAAAAAUAGUUUGCUCUUCAGUGCACAGAUUACAACCAGUUGCAUAGAAUGAUUUUAAUGCAUAAUGGAUUGCUUCAUAUGGAGAGCAAGUCCUUAAUUUCUAUUAAUAUAUAUAUAAAUAUAAUGAAAUAUGUUAAUAUUUGCAAUAUCUCAUUGAUUUUUGGGUUUGACCAUUGGAUAUUGGCCUCGUUGGGUCACUAUCUUGAACUUUAGUACCAAACUUCUACUCAGGCCCUAGAGUAGGUGUCAAAAAUUACCUCUGUGGAGCUGGCCAAGGUCCAGAUGUACUCCUGACAAGGGAGCAACUCAGUGUUACUUUUGGAAACAAAACCACCAACCUUAUUUGCAGUUUUCUCUGUCCAAGGACUUUCUGGAUGUAUUAUUCUUUUUAUACAGAUGUCUGUUAAGUCUAACAUACAGUCUUUAAUCUUCUCUCACAGUGGUUUCUUACGUUUUUUAAUUAAAACAGACAACUGAACUGUAAGUAGAAAAUGACAUUUAUCUUUUAGACUGACUUUUAUAAAGGGUUUUUGUGGAAACAGAUCAUAAAUCUCAAGUUUUACAGUUGGCAGAGCUGAUCAAAUGCUUUCUUACUGCUGAAGGUAGCAUGUCUUAGAGAUAUUUUUUUUGUCCUGCUUUACUCUGUCCUCCCUUGUUCCAGGUCACAUGCUACUGUCCCUUUCUUUGUGCCAGUCUGGUGCUUGUCAGACUCCUGUGAGCCGUUCCAACUCACUAGCAAGGCAGAAAACUGAUACAUGUUUAAGCAACAUAUGUCCAUUCCAGUCCAAAUUGUUAUGUGAGUGACUGCGAUCAUUACUAGAACAAAAGAUUCCCAAACCUUUCCUGCCAAGCUAGAUUUCUGUUAAUUUACUCAGUUAAAGACACUCGCGGAAAGGUCCAAAAUCCACCAGAUGGAAGAUGUGGAACGUGCUGGAGAUAGGAAGAUGAACGGGUUGUAGGCAGAAAGGAGCAGAAACUCACUUUCUGGGAGCAGUGCACAUCAGUUUACCGUAUACUGAGGCAUCUCAAAAAUGGAUCUUCAAAUCUACACUCUCUCUAGUCUGUGAAGACAGACCUCUCCACAAGAUAAUUCAUCUUGUAAGGCAGAUAUCUAAGACAAAUUGUAGGAAUAACCUUUUUAAUUACUUUGUCUCCAUGGCUUACAAGGGGAUCUCGUAGGUGAAUAGAGGAUUCACGUUAUCUAUAAAACUAAGAGAGAUUAAUUUUAGUUUCCUGGCUUUCAACAAAUCUUAGAGUAGGACUUGAGGCAGCAUUUUCUUUCACAAUGUAUUUUAGGGGAGGCUAAGAGUGCACACACUUUCAGUUACCACAGCUUAGCUGGUGAGUAGUCACUGGCUAUGAUCUGGUGCCUUGGGAGCCUGAGGUCACUAGUCCAUACCCUCAGCCUCUGCUGAUGCUGUAGGCUGCACUGGCGGGAAGACCAGCCUCUGAGGGUGGCUGCUGUAAAUUUCUUGUUCGUUACUAUUGCCCCUGGGAACGAGUUUCAAUGCAAGUAGUGUACGACACAAACCAGAACUGUAUUAUGUUAAAAGACAUUUGCAACAGGUGCUGGUGUUGUAAAGAGCUGUCACAGGUCAAGUGGAAGAGUAGAGACAACAGGCAGCACAGUAGCAGUCAGCACAGCUGUGUGGUGCAGACUGUGGGCAUGGAAUUGAUGACAAUUACUUGGUAUCUUAGAAGCAAGCUUUCAGAACAGUUCUGUAAUGGAGCUAAACAAAAUUUGUUUUGUUUAUGCUUCCUUACUUGUAAUCUAUCUAUAACUAGGCUAACAGCCCCUGAUAAUCUUCUUGUAACAGUUUUUAUGUGUGAUAAAAUACUGAGCAUUUAUUUCCAGAAAGGAUAUUGUACUCCAGAUCCCUUGCUGGCCGUAUAAUGUAAUUUCUGUAUUUUAAUUAUUUCUCCAAUAGAUGGCAGUAGCUGCUUAUUGCCUGAUAAAUUAAAACCAUUCAUAGUAUGCUAUAUACACAUAAAGCAGUAAAACCCAAUUAUAUUCAUAUAUAGGUACUUAACAUAUAACUGACACAUAUUUAUAUAUGUUAAAAGUGUGUCACUGGUUUUCCAUAUUUGAAAAUGAAAUGCUUUCUGAAUAUUUUCCUUUUGAGUCUGUUGGUUUGCUCAGAAUUACAUGGUAGUCUUCUGUAGGCUUUCUGUUCAUCCAUGUUGCCUUUUCUGUCCUGGAGGCAUGACAGAGAGGUUGUUACUGUGCUGUUUAAAUGUUGAUCUGAAGACUUUUACAUGGUCGUGCCUAAUUCUUUAGGAAUUCACAAACCAGAGCUCUUGUUGCUUCAUCUACCAUAUAUGAUGUUUUCUGCAGUCAUAUACUGAGAAGCUUGGAGUGGAGUCUUCUUCCACCAGAAUGAUCUGCACUACUUUAACUGUUCUGCAGUUAUAUAAACAACCACCAUUAUGCAGAUGAAGGAAUACAUGAGAUGAAUUCUGGUUUUACUAAAUACCUUAUCAGUAGAUUUUGGAUGAUAAUUACCACGGUCUGCUAUGGCUAUGAAGAGUUUGAUGUUAUCUUGCUAACUAGGCUAUGGCAGUCUCAGUAACACAAAUAUGAGUAUGUCAGACCCAUUGGAUCUCAUAAACCUUGACAGAGACAUGGAGAACUAGAAGACCCUGAAAAACAUUGAAGAAUCAGUCUGAACCACAAGCAGAGGACAAAACCCAUGCAUGGGGUCAAAUCCAGUAAGGAGAAGUUGUUACGGUGGAAUAUAACUUCAGCGUAGGUGGGUAGGGAGGUUUAAAUAAUUUAAUGGCACUAACACAUUUUUCCAGCCUUUCUUUGUUUCAUGGGUUAAAGUGCCCUUCCUACCACCUUGCCUGCACCCUGACUGAUGCUUGGCUGUCCUGCACACCACCUGUUACCACUUCCCUAUUUCUGUAAGAACAUACAAACAGAAACAGUGUCCCGAUCAUGGUGCUUCAUCUCUUCACUUCUCCUUAGUUGACAUUUAAUUCCCUGAAAAAAGUGAUAUCCAGGUGACUGUUUUAAAGAAAGAUGUAGAGGAGAGACAGUCAGUAAGUGAUACCUUGGAGAGGGUGAAAGAGCACACAUAACUUACAGCUUUUCACUAACGUGCUGUCAUUAUGUGGCUUUACAAUAUUCACAAGAACAGCCAGUUUGUCAGUGCUCAUUCAUUUCUCCAGGUUGGCAGAGCAACCAGUUUUCACUGUGAUGCUUCAUAUCACACCUGGGGAGUAGCAAUGCACAUGAGGAAGCUAACUUUUUUUGCUUUUUGCUUUAUAGCUCUAAUGCCAUGAAAAAGCUUGCUUUUCUCCUGCUCCCUUGUAUAGGAUGCUCUCUUGCUCUCCUGAGCUUCUGUGAACCAUCAGUCAGCAAUCAAAAGGAAUAUGUGUUUUUUUUCCUCUGGAAUCUCUGCCUGCCCUUCAGUCUUCUAGACAUGCCACUGUGUUAAGCCUUAGUCUUUUCUAUAUAUCUCAUUACCGUAGGUGGACUUUCCAUAUGCGGACCAAACAAUGACAUACCGUGGAGAAACAUUUUUUCUCUGUUUAUGAACCUUGGUGUAUAGGGUAAAAAAACCCAACCAUUUGUACAAUCAAUAGCUGCCUUUGGUUUGGAGAAUGCCAGCUACGUAAAACCAUUUGUAGCAAUCAAUACAGAUAAAAGAUACAGCUUGGGUUGUUGCAGUAUUCUUGGAUAGAGUAACAUGUCUCAUUAUGACAGCCCUAAUGUUUGAGCUACUUGUGUGCCAAAUUAAUUAGUAAUCACCAGGGUGGUAAAAUAACUACUUUCACAUGUUUUCUGUCUUGAGGUCGUUCUUUUGUAUGGGAGGUAAUAUCCGCAGCUACAGGAUAGACCAGGCAGGGAGUUCUAAGAAAGUGGGUUUGAGAUCCUACCAUUCUGCUGCCAUGUCAUGCUUGUCUUUUGUCCCACUAGUGAGCAGUAUUUGAUUGAGCCCAGAGCCUUAAACUGGGUACCUUAUCAAAACAGGCCUAUGGAAUGCAGAAGAGCUCCUAUGCAAGAUGCCCAAGGUGCCAAAAUGGCUUGCUGUGACCCUGCUCCACUACAACCCCGUCAGUGCUAGGUGCAGUGCAUCUUGCCCAUCUGGAUGAAUAUUGCACUGUUAAAGACCUGUUUCCAGUGAACACUGUACCUUUCAAGUCAUUGCAGGAUUAAACCUAUGACAUGUGCUUGGCUUCUGGAGUCUGUUCACACAGCAACUGGGUGUGCCUGACCUUUCUGACACUGAUACUGUCAAGUUUCUGGAACACAAGGAGAACAUAAACUUCGGUAGGCACUGAGAAGUCAUCCACUGCCACAACAGACUGACCUUUCCUAGUCUAUGUGCUUAUCACAUGUGCCUGCAUAUCUUGAUUCCUGGCAGGAAUAUUUAGAAUAUACGUAAACUUUGCUGGAGUGCACUGCUUGUCCUGGAGAGGAUAGUGUUUAGUGUUUAGAUAGUGUCUAGGUGUAUGAACCUGUGCCUUUGGUGUGUAUCACUUAGCUGCUGAGAUAAACAAGUAGGUUACUACUCCCAAGCAGGAGUAGUUGGCUCCUUGGAGCUAGCUAGCUCCUGUUCCUACUUGCAGCCUCUAAAAUACAUUUACAGAGCUGUUUGUAUGAACACCCCCUAGUCUUUUUUGGUCAAAAUGAGCUGACUAAGAAGCAUCUUAUCAUUCAUACUUAUUAUCUUGAUCCCAUCUGAUCUUGUUUGACCAUGAGCUUUACACUCAAUAUGGAGAGUAUGAAAAAAUACACUGCUCCAGGGAAGACAGAGUUCCUUAUAUUCCAUAGAUUGGCUGCGUGAUAAACAUUACUUGGUUUGAAUUAGAAUUAAAAAUCCUGCCUUAGUGCGAGAAUGCUAUAAAUGCAAAGAUGCCAUAAAAGCAUUUGCUUAUAUAGUAAUUUGAAGAAUUCAUUCUGGUUCUUUUUCUUUGCCUUUAAAAAAAUCAGUCUAUGGCAGUUUCAUGCUCUAAGCAUUUUUAUGUUAUAAAAAGAUGGGUUAUUUAUGUCAUCCUGUGUAUCCAACUACCCCCAAAGUGUGGAAACUCAAUGAACAGGCUCUAGCAGCAAAAAUCUUUACCAAGUUUUUCAGAGCCUUCCUCUAAUAUUUUUUUCACAUGAGAAAAGGACAUAGGCAUACCAGCAUGCCAUGGGACAUAACUAACAAAUAAUUAUAGACUGUGAGCAAUUGGAAGGCAGUCAAGGAUACCGUGCUGUGUCUACAUUCCCAAUAUUGUCUCCUGCUCCCUGCUAUAGCAUUUUUCCAGCAGAUAGAAGCAAUCAGUAUCGGACAUCAUGUAUGUGUAGAUUGUGUCAUUUGCAGUCUGCUAUCCAGAUACUGCCACAUAGUUCUUUAAAAAUAUCUUCAGGCACAUUCAGGCCACUGUGAGAAGUAGUUAAGGUAUUGUUCCUCCCUCACUGUCAGGAUCUCUGGAGGUGCUUGUGGUUGGGACAAGAAACUGAUAAUUUCUAUGCCAGAGCAGCUGUCUUGUUCCUAUAGUCUUUGCAGGUGGAACCGGAGCCUAUCUAAUCCCGUUUUUUUCUUGAGCACAGAGAAUUCACUUGGGACGACUCAUAGAUCAGCACUGGCUUCCAGGCCUGCUCUGUUCGGCUUGCAUGCAGAGUCAGCAGGCAGUGUGCACCUGAAAACAGCUUGGCUGACAACAGUUGGGCACUUAAUAAAUUGACAGGUGGGAUGAAGAAACUUUUGCCUCAGUAAAGCAAGGUAUUUCACUAACUAGCUAAUAUAACUGUGAGGGCAUGGCCUUUUGUCAGCAAAGAAACAACUGAGACAGCUUUUGGGCAAAUGCUGAUGGCUGAAAAGAUUUGACAGGUAUGAGAGCAAGUCACUAACUUGUAUCCUUUCAGGAAGAAGGAAAAUUCCUGCUUUCUUGUUUCACCAAUAGAAUAAAAGAAAAGAAUGUGGAAAUAGUUGAGUAAUUCACUUAGUUUGUGAAAUCAAAACUCAGCCAAAUACUUCUGCUUGGUCAAUAAACUAGUGCUUUUCUUUAAUUGUAGGUCUGACAUAUUCACAACAGUGCAACACAGAUUGGAACUACAUUUGAGUUUGAAGAUUUAGUCUCUACAUCUGUAUGUGAACAUGAAAUAAAAGAUCCAGCAGCCCAGACAUCUCUCCAAGGAGAAACUUGGGGUCCUAAUGGAAACAUUUCACCCAUCAUGGGACUUGGUGAAUCACAGUGCUGGGAAUUUGUCAGUCAGCUGGAGCUGGAAGGCAUGAGAUUGGGGGAGUGAGAAACUAGUAUUGAUGAGUAGUACCAUGCAAUUUGUCCAGGAAAAUGAAAGACUAUCUAAACCAUUAGUUCUUCACAAGAAGAAAUUCAGAAGUCUCAGAACUGGUUCGAGUGAAGGUGCGCUUGUCAAGAAUGGUCCUACCCCAGGAAUGCCCAGGCUUGGAAGUUCUCCCACUUCAGCUGAGUUGGCUACCUACCUCAUCAACAUCCACAACCAUCUCAGAGCAUGAAGGCAGGCAGAAAACGUGGAGGAGAACCAGUCUAAGCCUUACAUCAGACAUGCCCCAGAUGAUGGCCAAUGAUGCCGAUUGAGCAGUAAAUUAUUAUCGCCUUGAAGCAAUGAGGAAACAACGGGUAUGUUUUGGCCCCGAGGUGUGUCUCUGGGACAUAGUGCCUCCUCUGUCUCCCACUCCCACAAUGGACAUUAAACACCAACCUUUGCUUAGGGCUGUGCCCUAAGGCACAGUCUACCUUUCGGAAGCAGAUUCAGGCUUCUAUUUCUGGCCUUAACUGUAUGCCACCAGCCAAGACACUGCGUGCAGGAGAGCGUGUCACGGGGACUCUGUCCUCAGCUGUUGUGGUGCUAGGCAAGGGCUGGCCAGUGUGCAGACAGUCCUGAAUCAGUUUUGCAGCAUUGUACUUGGUUGUGGGUGAAACACUGAGUCUUCUGGGGCUCUAGUUUUGUAAAGAUGCAGACAUUCAUUUUCACUGUGUAUUUUUGUUGCUGAUGUUGCUUUCCCAGGGGCAGGCUGAUCUUCGAAUCUCGAAAGGGCAGAUAACCAGUGCAUAACAACAGUGAGUGAAAUGAGCUGCAGAAAACCUUCUGUUUAUAAGACUUACUUGUUAAGGGAUUGUACAUUCAUUAAAGCAUUCAUGACCUAGGCAAUGGUCUUUUGACCCUGGUCUGCUUCCUGUGUGUAUGUGGUUGUGGAGGCUAAAGGUAUUUUUGUUCUAGACGUUUCCAGUGUUCUCUCAGAUUUGAACCUGGCUGCUAAUAUGUGUGUAGUGGUAUACCUCAGGGCCAUUAUACAGUGCUGUUACUUACUACAUCACAUAUGUGGGAAAUGCUUCUAGGAGCGUUUGAUUGACUCUAUAUGUGGCCAAAUAAAGCUCUAAAAUAAUGUGACUAUA